UGAAAGACAAAACUUAUAGCUGAAACUAGUCAAUUCAUGCUGUUUAUAGUCUUUGUAAUCAUUCAUCCUAAAGUUGUUCUCAAUUUCCUAGAGUCAGUAGUCACAUGCUGUCCUAUGGCAAUGGAUGGCCACAUUUUGGCUGCACAGGCAGUAGAAGUGGGAACAGUGGAAGAGGACUGAGGUGGAUCACCUGGUUGGUGCAGAGGUGAACCCAAGAUGUGGACCAGCCUAUGAUUUACAGCUUCUAAGAAAACUAAUGGUAGCACAUGAUGUGCCCCCAGUGCUACCAUUCCUGUGCAUAAAUGCACGAGAAGUAAGUGUGUGAAGGUUUGUAGGGAUGAUUUUAGAUAAGAGUUGCAUACAAAGUCUCUUCAGGUUAUGAUGGACAAGUCACAGUUGGCCUAGUCAUAAGCAUGUGAAACUUCAGAUUGUGUUGCAGUCAGGUUCAUGACCUUGCUAUAUGUCAGGGGGUUUUGUGUUUGAAUGAAAUACAUUCUUUCUCAAAGUGCCUAUUUCCAGCCUGCACCAUUAAUGACAACCAGAAAACUUGCAGGGAAACCUAAUCAAAUGCUGGGGAUUAACCUCUUAGGAGCCAACAGCUAUACAUGACCUUGUUUCUUGAGCUAACCGCCUCCCGGUUAGCUCAAUUGGUUAGAGCGCUGGACUGUUGUGCGGGAGGUCGAGGUCG